CGUAGUUAGCCGAGACUUAUUCCGGUGGUACCGUCCUUGCUCUUCCCACCGAAAAGGAGUUUACAAUCCGAAGACCGUCAUCCUCCACGCGGCGUUGCUGCAUCAGGCUGGCGCCCAUUGUGCAAUAUUCCUU
rnacentral:rRNA from 1 species